UACGUAGGGGGCAAGCGUUGUCCGGAAUUAUUGGGCGUAAAGAGCGCGUAGGCGGUCCGAUAAGUCGGCUGUGAAAGUCAGGGGCUCAACCCUUGAAAGCCGGCCGAAACUGUCUGGCUAGAGUCCGGAAGGGGCGAGUGGAAUUCCUGGUGUAGCGGUGAAAUGCGCAGAUAUCAGGAGGAACACCAAUGGCGAAGGCAGCUCGCUGGGACGGUACUGACGCUGAGGCGCGAAAGCGUGGGGAGCGAACAGG
rnacentral:rRNA from 1 species